rnacentral:tRNA from 1 species
CCCUGCGUAGCUCAAGGGUAGAGCGCUUGGCUGUAGACCAAGAGGUUCCCGGUUCAAGUCUGGGCGUGGGGA